rnacentral:rRNA from 1 species
CGUAGGGUGCGAGCGUUAAUCGGAAUUACUGGGCGUAAAGCGUGCGCAGGCGGUGGCUCAAGCCAGGCGUGAAAUCCCCGGGCUUAACCUGGGAAUGGCGUUUGGGACUGGGUCGCUAGAGUGUGGCAGAGGGAGGUGGAAUUCCACGUGUAGCAGUGAAAUGCGUAGAGAUGUGGAGGAACACCGAUGGCGAAGGCAGCCUCCUGGGCCAGCACUGACGCUCAUGCACGAAAGCGUGGGGAGCAAACAGGAUUAGAUACCCUGGUAGUCCACGCCCUAAACGAUGUCAACUGGUUGUUGGGGAAGGAAACUUCCUUAGUAACGAAGCUAACGCGUGAAGUUGACCGCCUGGGGAGUACGGCCGCAAGGUUA